CUCGCCAGGUGGACUCGGAGUCCGCGAGCGUCGUCGGCAAGCGGCCGCCUUUCCACGGUACUCCGAGCACUAUGUCGUCCCCGGCGUCGACCCCGAGCCGCCGCGGCAGCCGGCGUGGAAGGGCCACCCCCGCCCAGACGCCUCGGAGUGAGGAUGCCAGGUCAUCUCCCUCUCAGAGACGUAGAGGCGAGGAUUCCACCUCCACGGGGGAGUUGCAGCCGAUGCCAACCUCGCCUGGAGUGGACCUGCAGAGCCCUGCUGCGCAGGACGUGCUGUUUUCCAGCCCUCCCCAAAUGCAUUCUUCAGUUCACCACUGACAUACGGCACUCCCAGCUCUCGGGUAGAGGGAACCCCAAGAAGUGGUGUUAGGGGCACACCUGUGAGACAGAGGCCUGACCUGGGCUCUGCACAGAAGGGCCUGCAAGUGGAUCUGCAGUCUGACGGGGCAGCAGCAGAAGAUAUAGUGGCAAGUGAGCAGUCUCUAGGCCAAAAACUUGUGAUCUGGGGAACAGAUGUAAAUGUGGCAGCAUGCAAAGAAAACUUUCAG
rnacentral:lncRNA from 1 species